GACGAACGCUGGCGGCGCGCUUAACACAUGCAAGUCGUGCGGUACCGAUGGCAAGUCUUCUUGACGAGCCUUCGGUAUAGCGGCGGACGGGUGAGUAACACGUGAGUAGCUGUCCUAGGGAGGGGGAUAACGCCUGGAAACGGGUGCUAAAACCCCAUAAGCCUCGAAAGAGGUAAAAGUGCAUCACUGCAGUCCUAGGGUGUGCUCGCGGCCUAUCAGCUAGUUGGUGAGGUAAGGGCUCACCAAGGCCAAGACGGGUAGCCGGCCUGAGAGGGUGUACGGCCACACUGGAAUUGAGAUACGGUCCAGACUCCUACGGGAGGCAGCAGUGGGGAAUUUUGGGCAAUGGGCGAAAGCCUGACCCAGCGACGCCGCGUUGGGGAUGAAGUCCUCGGGCGUAACCCAUGUUGUAGGGGAAGAAGAAAGUGACGGUACCCUACGAGAAAGACCCGGCCAACUAACGUG
rnacentral:rRNA from 1 species